rnacentral:rRNA from 1 species
CAAUAGCGUAUAUUAAAGUUGUUGCAGUUAAAAAGCUCGUAGUUGGAUUUCGGGACGGGCCAGUUGGUCCGCCGCAAGGUGUGUUACUGACUGGUCUGUUCUUCUUCGCAAAGAUUGCGUGUGCUCUUCGUUGAGUGUGCGUAGGAUUUACGACGUUUACUUUGAAAAAAUUAGAGUGUUCAAAGCAGGCUAUCGCUUGAAUACAUGAGCAUGGAAUAAUGGAAUAGGACUUUGGUCCUAUUUUGUUGGUUUCUAGGACCGAAGUAAUGAUUAAGAGGGACAAUUGGGGGCAUCCGUAUUUCGUUGUCAGAGGUGAAAUUCUUGGAUUUACGAAAGACGAACAACUGCGAAAGCACUUGCCAAGAGUGUUUUCAUUAA